rnacentral:rRNA from 1 species
UACGAAGGGGGCUAGCGUUGUUCGGAAUCACUGGGCGUAAAGGGCGCGUAGGCGGCUUGAUAAGUCGGGGGUGAAAGCCUGUGGCUCAACCACAGAAUUGCCUUCGAUACUGUCGAGCUUGAGACCGGAAGAGGUAAGUGGAACUGCGAGUGUAGAGGUGAAAUUCGUAGAUAUUCGCAAGAACACCAGUGGCGAAGGCGGCUUACUGGUCCGGUUCUGACGCUGAGGCGCGAAAAGCGUGGGGAGCAAACAGG